rnacentral:tRNA from 1 species
GGAUGCUUGGCAGAGUGGCUUAUUGCACCACCUCGCUAAGGUGGCGACCGGGAACGGUCCGGGGUUCGACUCCCUCAGCAUCCG